CUAGAUGAAUGCUCGGUGCAGCGAUUUGACAUUUAAGAAUCUAAUUACAGUGUAGAAUUUUGUCUCUGGAACGACAUUAGUCAUUUGAAUAAGCCUUCGCUUUUGUAGCAAAAGCGGCGAAAAUCCACUAACAUUAUCGAUUCCCCUCUCCAGUCCCCGGAAUCCGUAAAACCCCGGAAUCCAGUCCCAAAUCUUGAUGGCGGCUUCCGAGCGUCUCCAGUUAUGUCCAUUCUCCACGCCUUCUUUUCUUCUGGAAUUGGGGGAAUUAGCAUAGGCUGGUCGACAUGGGAAUGACUUCGUUUCGCGCUGCUUCUUCGAUCUUGUGGCCUGGAGAGCCUUCUCUCCUCCCCUGCUUCGAAACCCUAUGGGAGGCGGACCGUGGUCGUCAGAUCAGCUAUGACUGUGGAUUAGGAGUACUCCAAGGCUCAGGUCACCCUUGUGUGAAUUGGCACCCGCGGGAGGACAGUACAUUAGCACUUGCCCAUGCCUAAGAGUCCUGGGAUAAACUAAUCUCAACACACCCGGAGCUAGCUGAGGAAGGAGCUAUUCACAUAGUAAUCAUUAAGACAACAGGAGACAAGAUACUUGAUCAAUCUCUUGAAGACAUUGGCGGCGAUGGCUUAUUCACAAAAGAUAUAGAUGAGGCACAGUUGGUGGGUAGAUUUGAUAUUGCAGUGCACUCAAUGAAGGAUGUUCCCACUUAUCUUCCAGAUGGUACAAUAUUGCCUUGCAACCUUCCUCGAGAAGAUGUAACGGAUGUGCUCAUUUGCUUAACUGCAAGGACUCUCUCCGAGCUACCUGCUGGAAGUGUUAUCGGAACUGCCUCCCUCAGGAGACAGUCUCAAAUUUUAUACAGAUAUCCAUAACUAGAGGUUGUUAACUUGGACUGCCCAGAACUGAUUGAAGAAACUUAAUGAAGACAACGAAACCGACGAGGCAGGAGGUGAUGACGGGCCAGCUCGGAACAAUGACAGCACAACCCAAAGACCCUCCAGAUUAAUUCCACAUUUAGCUAUGUUUAUUUUCUUCAAGUCGUGAUGUAAUUUUAUUUGAACCAAGAACCACUAUGGAUGCAUGAAUAUGUGGUGUCCGCAAUUUAUAAAUUAUAAAAAAGAACACUAGGGGCGUUACAUGUUUUUGCUGUUUCUGCUAUGCACAAACUUCAUGCCACUAGGAUAGUUAUCCUUAAUUCUUUUCUAUGGUUUGACUUUAAAUUUCGUUCCAACUCCUUGAAGUAAACACAAAAGGUUGCUCAUGCGGGUGAGUUUGACACAGGAAUUAUAUAUCUAAUUUUUAGCAUUACCUUUAAUGACAUGGUAACUUUGUGACUCAAGAUGUUCAAGUAAUUGUUAUAAUAACACUACAAAUUCCACAAAACACAUAGCAUUCUUACUUCUAUAUCAAUAUGGGCAUAUCUAUUUUUUUUUUCUGUGUGCAUGCGAUAUACAAUGGGCAUUGACAUUUCUUUGAUUGUGAAUCAGGCUAACUGUAUAGCUUCGUUGAACCAUCAUUAUACUCAAUUAGCUGAUGUUUGUGAAAGGGCAUUUCUUGAGACACUUGAUUGGUCUUGUCGUACACCAAUUGCUGGCCACGCUCAUCGUGAUACUGAUGGAUAUUGUGUUCUAAGGUGUUUGAUCAAUUCAUCUGAUGGAAAACGAGCACUAGAGACUUCGAAAAAAGGCUUAUAUGCUCUUGAUGAUAUGGUGGCAAUGGGAAAAGACAUAGGCAGAGUUACUUUCAAGAGCUUGCCUGGGUUUCUUCAAUUGGCCUCAAGAUUAAACCACGCAGGAGCUGUAUUCCUAAUUCCUGUAUCAUCUGACAUCUUAAACUAUUCUCUUACUCCUCUUCUAAUAAAGAAGUUUGAGAUGGAUGCAUGAGAUUAUUAAUGGGAUAAAAUAAAUUGUGAGCAAGUAAAUCUACCUGAUACAUGAUUACAUGAUAUAAAGUAGAUCAUGACUGUAUGUAUUUACUUGUGGAUGAUGGAUGCAGUUCAUGGAUAGGUUUAAUCAAUUAGAGGGUUUGUGUUUUAAGAAUA